rnacentral:rRNA from 1 species
GACGAACGCUGGCGGCGUGCUUAACACAUGCAAGUCGAGCGGUAAGGCCCUUUCGGGGGUACACGAGCGGCGAACGGGUGAGUAACACGUGGGUGACCUGCCCUCAGCUCUGGGAUAAGCCUGGGAAACUGGGUCUAGUACUGGAUAUGACUCCACGGUGCAUGUCGUGGGGUGGAAAGCCUUGUGCGGCUGAGGAUGGGCCCGCGGCCUAUCAGCUUGUUGGUGGGGUGANGGGCCUACCGAGGCGACGACGGGUAGCCGGCCUGAGAGGGCGACCGGCCACACUGGGACUGAGACACGGCCCAGACUCCUACGGGAGGCAGCAGGUGGGGAAUCUUGCGCAAUGGGCGAAAGCCUGACGCAGCGACGCCGCGUGAGGGAUGACGGCCU